AUUGAACGCUGGCGGCAUGCUUUACACAUGCAAGUCGAACGGUAACAGCACUUCGGUGGCUGACGAGUGGCGAACGGGUGAGUAAUACAUCGGAACGUGCCUAGUAGUGGGGGAUAACUACUCGAAAGAGUAGCUAAUACCGCAUGAGAUCUAAGGAUGAAAGCAGGGGACCUUCGGGCCUUGCGCUACUAGAGCGGCUGAUGGCAGAUUAGGUAGUUGGUGGGAUAAAAGCUUACCAAGCCGACGAUCUGUAGCUGGUCUGAGAGGACGACCAGCCACACUGGGACUGAGACACGGCCCAGACUCCUACGGGAGGCAGCAGUGGGGAAUUUUGGACAAUGGGCGCAAGCCCGAUCCAGCAAUGCCGCGUGCAGGAUGAAGGCCUUCGGGUUGUAAACUGCUUUUGUACGGAACGAAAAGCCCUCUUCUAAUACAGGAGGGUCAUGACGGUACCGUAAGAAUAAGCACCGGCUAACUACGUG
rnacentral:rRNA from 1 species